AGGAAGAUGGCCCCUUAAAAUUAGUACCAUAGGGCCUAGGUGUGUACUAGGCUACGCCAUCUAGGUUUGUGUAAGUACACCGUAUGUUCAGUCAAUGAAGAAAUCACUU